rnacentral:rRNA from 1 species
UAGGGAAUCUUCCGCAAUGGGCGAAAGCUUGACGGAGCAACGCCGCGUGAGUGAUGAAGGUCUUCGGAUCGUAAAACUCUGUUAUUAGGGAAGAACAAAUGUGUAAGUAACUAUGCACGUCUUGACGGUACCUAAUCAGAAAGCCACGGCUAACUACGUGCCAGCAGCCGCGGUAAUACGUAGGUGGCAAGCGUUAUCCGGAAUUAUUGGGCGUAAAGCGCGCGUAGGCGGUUUUUUAAGUCUGAUGUGAAAGCCCACGGCUCAACCGUGGAGGGUCAUUGGAAACUGGAAAACUUGAGUGCAGAAGAGGAAAGUGGAAUUCCAUGUGUAGCGGUGAAAUGCGCAGAGAUAUGGAGGAACACCAGUGGCGAAGGCGACUUUCUGGUCUGUAACUGACGCUGAUGUGCGAAAGCGAGGGGAUCAAACAGG